CAGUAAGUCGUAACAAGGUAGCCGUAAUAGAGUUUGAUCCUGGCUCAGUAAGUCGUAACAAGGUAGCCGUAAUAGAGUUUGAUCCUGGCUCAGGAAGUCGUAACAAGGUAGCCGUAAUAGAGUUUGAUCCUGGCUCAGGAUGAACGCUAGCGACAGGCCUAACACAUGCAAGUCGAGGGGCAGCAUUUCCAGCUUGCUGGAAGAUGGCGACCGGCGCACGGGUGAGUAACGCGUAUGCAACCUGCCUUACACAGGGGGAUAGCCCGGAGAAAUCCGGAUUAAUACCGCAUAAUGAUCAAAUUUCGCAUGUUAUUUGAUUUAAAGCUUCGGCGGUGUAAGAUGGGCAUGCGUAACAUUAGCUUGUUGGUAAGGUAACGGCUUACCAAGGCAAUGAUGUUUAGGGGGUCUGAGAGGAUAGUCCCCCACACUGGUACUGAGACACGGACCAGACUCCUACGGGAGGCAGCAGUGAGGAAUAUUGGUCAAUGGGCGCAAGCCUGAACCAGCCAUGUCGCGUGCAGGAUGACGGCCCUAUGGGUUGUAAACUGCUUUUUUACGGGAAUAAACUUAGCUACGUGUAGUUAACUGAAGGUACCGUAUGAAUAAGGAUCGGCUAACUCCGUGCCAGCAGCCGCGGUAAUACGGAGGAUUCGAGCGUUAUCCGGAUUUAUUGGGUUUAAAGGGUCCGUAGGCGGAUUUGUAAGUCAGUGGUGAAAUCUCACAGCUCAACUGUGAAACUGCCAUUGAUACUGCUAAUCUUGAAUAUAGUUGAGGUAGGCGGAAUACGUUAUGUAGCGGUGAAAUGCAUAGAUAUAACGUAGAACACCGAUUGCGAAGGCAGCUUACUAAGCUAUUAUUGACGCUGAUGGACGAAAGCGUGGGGAGCGAACAGGAUUAGAUACCCUGGUAGUCCACGCCGUAAACGAUGAUUACUCGUUGUGCGCGAUACACAGUGCGCGACUGAGCGAAAGCAUUAAGUAAUCCACCUGGGGAGUACGUUGGCAACAAUGAAACUCAAAGGAAUUGACGGGGGCCCGCACAAGCGGAGGAACAUGUGGUUUAAUUCGAUGAUACGCGAGGAACCUUACCUGGGCUUAAAUGCAGUUUGACCGAUCUGGAAACGGAUCUUCUCUUCGGAGCAAAUUACAAGGUGCUGCAUGGUUGUCGUCAGCUCGUGCCGUGAGGUGUCGGGUUAAGUCCCAUAACGAGCGCAACCCCUAUCGUUAGUUGCUAGCAGGUAAUGCUGAGGACUCUAGCGAGACUGCCACCGUAAGGUGAGAGGAAGGUGGGGAUGACGUCAAAUCAGCACGGCCCUUACGUCCAGGGCUACACACGUGUUACAAUGGCUAGUACAAAGGGCAGCUACCUGGUGACAGGAUGCUAAUCUCAAAAGCUAGUCUCAGUUCGGAUCGGAGUCUGCAACUCGACUCCGUGAAGUUGGAUUCGCUAGUAAUCGUAUAUCAGCAAUGAUACGGUGAAUACGUUCCCGGGCCUUGUACACACCGCCCGUCAAGCCAUGGAAGCCGAGGGGACCUGAAGUUCGUAACCGCAAGGA
rnacentral:rRNA from 1 species